rnacentral:rRNA from 1 species
GUACACUCCUGCGGGAGGCAGCAGUGGGGAAUAUUGAACAAUGGGCGCAAGCCUGAUCCAGCCAUGCCGCGUGAGUGAUGAAGGCCCUAGGGUUGUAAAGCUCUUUCACCGGUGAAGAUAAUGACGGUAACCGGAGAAGAAGCCCCGGCUAACUUCGUGCCAGCAGCCGCGGUAAUACGAAGGGGGCUAGCGUUGUUCGGAUUUACUGGGCGUAAAGCGCACGUAGGCGGACUAUUAAGUCAGGGGUGAAAUCCCGGGGCUCAACCCCGGAACUGCCUUUGAUACUGGUAGUCUUGAGUUCGAGAGAGGUGAGUGGAAUUCCGAGUGUAGAGGUGAAAUUCGUAGAUAUUCGGAGGAACACCAGUUGCGAAGGCGGCUCACUGGCUCGAUACUGACGCUGAGGUGCGAAAGCGUGGGGAGCAAACAGGAUUAGAAACCCCGGUAGUCCCAUGAU